rnacentral:rRNA from 1 species
AUUGAACGCUGGCGGCAGGCCUAACACAUGCAAGUCGAACGGUAACAGGCUGUAUGGGAUCCCUUCGGGGUGAACUUGGCGCUGACGAGUGGCGAACGGGUGAGUAACACGUAGGAAUCUACCCAGGAGUGGGGGACAACCCGGAGAAAUCCGGGCUAAUACCGCAUAUGCCCUACGGGGUAAAGUGGGGGACCUCUUCGGAGGCCUCACGCUUUUGGAUGAGCCUGCGUCGGAUUAGUUUGUUGGUGAGGUAACGGCUCACCAAGGCGACGAUCCGUAACUGGUCUGAGAGGAUGACCAGUCACACUGGGACUGAGACACGGCCCAGACUCCUACGGGAGGCAGCAGUGGGGAAUAUUGGACAAUGGGGGCAACCCUGAUCCAGCCAUGCCGCGUGUGUGAAGAAGGCCCUAGGGUUGUAAACCUCUGUCAGGAGGGAAGAAACCGGGGUCGGUGAAUAACCGGUCCCAUUGACGGUACCUCCAGAGGAAGCACCGGCUAACUCCGUG